rnacentral:pre_miRNA from 1 species
AAGAAGUGUGACAUGCCCGUUAGGGAUUUACUCUGAUUGUAUGUUUCAUUAUUAUUUAAUUGUUUUUGGGUAACGGGGUGUUACAAUGUA